CACUCCUGCGGGAGGCAGCAGUGGGGAAUUUUGGACAAUGGGCGAAAGCCUGAUCCAGCCAUGCCGCGUGCAGGAUGAAGGCCUUCGGGUUGUAAACUGCUUUUGUACGGAACGAAACGGCCUUUUCUAAUAAAGAGGGCUAAUGACGGUACCGUAAGAAUAAGCACCGGCUAACUACGUGCCAGCAGCCGCGGUAAUACGUAGGGUGCAAGCGUUAAUCGGAAUUACUGGGCGUAACGCGUGCGCAGGCGGUUAUGUAAGACAGUUGUGAAAUCCCCGGGCUCAACCUGGGAACUGCAUCUGUGACUGCAUAGCUAGAGUACGGUAGAGGGGGAUGGAAUUCCGCGUGUAGCAGUGAAAUGCGUAGAUAUGCGGAGGAACACCGAUGGCGAAGGCAAUCCCCUGGACCUGUACUGACGCUCAUGCACGAAAGCGUGGGGAGCAAACAGGAUUAGAUACCCCAGUAGUCCCAUGA
rnacentral:rRNA from 1 species